UGGAACUUAGAAGUUCUUGAUGUUCUGAUGGUAAAUCAGCAAUGUUUGAACACGAUGUUCAAACAAGCCGCCACUGAGCCAUGGAUGGCGAAUUGGCGGCGGUUGCGUACGGGGAUAAUAGUGUAUAGCAGAACAUCUAGUACUUCUUAGUUU
rnacentral:ncRNA from 1 species